AGAAGGGAAUUUGGGAAAAAAUAUUAACAGCAGGUAUUGGGUAAAGGGGGUCAUGGGAAACCAAAGGCAGAGAGAAACUAGCUGGAGUGUAAAUCCUCAGAGUUGCGUAGAAAUUUAAUCAGAGAAAGAUAGGAGCAGAGAGACACUUAGAGAAUGAAACCAAGGAGUCCUGUGGCUCUCAGUGGAUCUCACCGGGAGAAGAUCAAGGAAGUAAAGUAAAUCUUACAAGGAUAUGGAGACAAAAAGCUAAUUGUUCAUCUUUUCAAUUUGUUCUUCAGGAAUUGGAUUUCUUUACUCAAGCCCAAGCCUGACCUGUCCGAAUACCUCACCAUGGAAGAAGUUCAAUGCCCUGAAUAGGCAAAAUGAUGGUGUUUAAAAGUCAAACAUUGCUUGUGUAGAAGAAUCCUGGCUCAGACAGUGAACUGUGAUGCUGAUAAUCUCAGACACUCCAAAGACUGCUAUUGUAAGAACCAGAACUGAUCGUAUUCUCCAUGUAGAUCAUUGUCCGUAUUUUUCAAGACAAUAACAAUUUCAAUAAAGACAAUUAGUAUUUAGGUUUUUCAUCAAGUGUUUUAAAGAUGACUAAAUUGUAUUUCUAUAAGGGAACAUUAAAAAGUUGAUGAAAAAGCCGGCGCCGUGGCUCAAUAGGCUAAUCCUCCACCUUGCGGCGCCGGCACACCGGGUUCUAGUCCCGGUUGGGGCACCGGAUUCUGUCCCGGUUGCCCCUCUUCCAGGCCAGCUCUCUGCUAUGGCCAGGGAGUGCAGUGGAGGAUGGCCCAGGUGCUUGGGCCCUGCACCCCAUGGGAGACCAGGAAAAGCACCUGGCUCCUGGCUCCUGCCAGGAUCAGCGCGGUGCGCCGGCUGCAGCGGCGGCCAUUGGAGGGUGAACCAACGGCAAAGGAAGACCUUUCUCUCUCUGUCUCUCUCUCUCACUGUCCACUCUGCCUGUCAAAAAAAAAAAAAAAAAGUU